rnacentral:rRNA from 1 species
UACGGAGGAUGCGAGCGUUAUCCGGAUUUAUUGGGUUUAAAGGGUGCGUAGGCGGGUUAUCAAGUCAGCGGUAAAAUCGUGGAGCUCAACUCCAUCCAGCCGUUGAAACUGAUGAUCUUGAGUGGGCGAGAAGUAUGCGGAAUGCGUGGUGUAGCGGUGAAAUGCAUAGAUAUCACGCAGAACUCCGAUAGCGAAGGCAGCUUACCAGACUGCGACUGACGCUGAAGCACGAGAGCGUGGGUAGCGAACAGG